GACGAACGCUGGCGGCGUGCCUAAUACAUGCAAGUCGAGCGCAGGAAACUGACGGAACUCUUCGGAGGGAAGGCAGUGGAAUGAGCGGCGGACGGGUGAGUAACACGUAAGGAACCUGCCUCAAGGAUUGGGAUAACUCCGAGAAAUCGGAGCUAAUACCGGAUAGUUCAUCGGACCGCGUGGUCCGUUGAUGAAAGGCGCUCCGGCGCCACCUUGAGAUGGCCUUGCGGUGCAUUAGCUAGUUGGUGGGGUAACGGCCCACCAAGGCGACGAUGCAUAGCCGACCUGAGAGGGUGCUCGGCCACACUGGGACUGAGACACGGCCCAGACUCCUACGGGAGGCAGCAGUAGGGAAUCUUCCACAAUGGACGAAAGUCUGAUGGAGCAACGCCGCGUGAGUGAUGAAGGUUUUCGGAUCGUAAAACUCUGUUGUAAGGGAAGAACACGUACGAGAGGGAAUGCUCGUACCUUGACGGUACCUUACGAGAAAGCCACGGCUAACUACGUGCCAGCCGCCGCAGUAACAC
rnacentral:rRNA from 1 species